CCCUACGGGGGGCAGCAGUGAGGAAUAUUGGUCAAUGGGCGCGAGCCUGAACCAGCCAAGUCGCGUGAGGGAAGACGGUCCUAUGGAUUGUAAACCUCUUUUGUCGGGGAGCAAAAGACGCCACGCGUGGCGUUCCGAGAGUACCCGAAGAAAAAGCAUCGGCUAACUCCGUGCCAGCAGCCGCGGUAAUACGGAGGAUGCGAGCGUUAUCCGGAUUUAUUGGGUUUAAAGGGUGCGCUGGCGGAAGAUCAAGUCAGCGGUAAAAUUGAGAGGCUCAACCUCUUCGACCCGUUGAAACUGGUUUU
rnacentral:rRNA from 1 species